GGACUUUUGAAUCGAACAGAUAGUCGAAGGAACAAUAGAAAACCUGGCGCAAAAAUGUAGAAAACUUGUGUGCGGGUGAAGUGACAAGGCGAAUACAAUGCGUUCCUGUUUAUACUACCAUUUGAGCCACAGCUCUAACUUGUGUAUUCAAAUAAAUGAAUGAAUAUAGUAGCUAAGAUAAAUUAAGCAGCAUGCUGUCGCAUUCGAGUGUCCUUGGACUUGAGCACGAUUUUCACGCAGACACGCUGUUACUAAUAAAAGACAACUUUGAAGCGUGACUCGUCAAAAACAGCAUGUGUCUCGAAAGGGUGCCAAGCGAAAUGCGGUAACUAACGUGUGUGAGUAACAGCUGACGAUUUCAUCUCUGCUUCCUAUGAGCAACAACCGUGCGUACAAUUUAUGAAGGUCGUUUUUACUUAUUCUGAACGAGCGAAGAAAAGUUUCAAAUUGGGGGAAAAUAUGCACGUGUUAAACUUUCCUAAAAAAACUAAUUGUAGAAGCUUAUAGUUCAGGUUUCGUGGCCGUAGAGGACAGCCGUUCUAACGAGCGUGUUGUAUAUGGAUAAAUUUAUAUGGUAGCAGACUUUGUUCGAUCGAGGAGGUUUCUUGGAGCCCAAAAUAGGACUAUUUACUAGAAUGCGACACUGAAUUUCUCGGCGAUAUCGGUAAUCGCCAGUGAAUGCAAAUAAACGAAUUCACCUCGAUAUUGUCACAAUUAAUCUAUAAAUUAGGUGGGAAAUGUUUCUUCCUAUGAA